rnacentral:rRNA from 1 species
ACGAACGCUGGCGGCGUGCCUAAUACAUGCACGUAGAACGCUGAAGGAGGAGCUUGCUCUUCUGGAUGAGUUGCGAACGGGUGAGUAACGCGUAGGUAACCUGCCUGGUAGCGGGGGAUAACUAUUGGAAACGAUAGCUAAUACCGCAUAGUAGUAGAUGUUGCAUGAUAUUUACUUAAAAGGUGCAAUUGCACCACUACCAGAUGGACCUGCGUUGUAUUAGCUAGUUGGUGGGGUAACGGCUCACCAAGGCGACGAUACAUAGCCGACCUGAGAGGGUGAUCGGCCACACUGGGACUGAGACACGGCCCAGACUCCUACGGGAGGCAGCAGUAGGGAAUCUUCGGCAAUGGACGAAAGUCUGACCGAGCAACGCCGCGUGAGUGAAGAAGGUUUUCGGAUCGUAAAGCUCUGUUGUAAGAGAAGAACGAGUGUGAGAGUGGAAAGUUCACACUGUGACGGUAUCUUACCAGAAAGGGACGGCUAACUACGUG